UCCCAGGGUAGGCUAGUAGUGGACAUGACAUCUGCCAGGUAAGCGGAACACUGUGGGUUCGAUUCCCAUCCCUGGAU